GUAUAGUUAAUAUCUAUAAUUGUGUAACAUAAAUACUGAAUUUGUCCUUGGUGGUUGAGACGGAAAUAUCUAGCACUUUAUGUAUCUUCAAUAAAGUUUGCCUGAGAUUCUUGUCACAACUGCAAUAAAAUUAUAUAAAGGUUAUUAUUGUGGGGAGGAAAUCUUGUUAAAAGGGUGGUGUCUCAUAAAAUGAAUUUGCUUGAAUGUUGAACAAUUAUCAAUCCAAAAAUACUAUUCUCUGGUUUCUGACAUAUAAAAAUAUGAUUUA
rnacentral:misc_RNA from 1 species